UACCCGCGGCUAGACGGAAAGACCCCGUGAACCUUUACUACAGCUUGGCACUGAACAUUGAACCUACAUGUGUAGGAUAGGUGGGAGGCUAUGAAGACGUGACGCCAGUUGCGUUGGAGCCGUCCUUGAAAUACCACCCUUGUAUGUUUGAUGUUCUAACUUAGACCCGUUAUCCGGGUUGAGGACAGUGCCUGGUGGGUAGUUUGACUGGGGCGGUCUCCUCCCAAAGAGUAACGGAGGAGCACGAAGGUGGGCUAAUCACGGUUGGA
rnacentral:rRNA from 1 species